GCUCAGUCAGUUAAGGGUCCGACUCUUGAUUUCGGCUCAGGUCAUGAUCUUGAAGUUCGUGGGUUCAAGCCCCACACUGGGCU
rnacentral:tRNA from 1 species